UCCCUGGUUGUCCAGUGGCUAAGACUCUGCGCUCCCGAUGCAGGGGGCUCAGGUUCGAUCCCUGGUCAGGGAA
rnacentral:tRNA from 1 species